CGCGAAGAGUUUCGCGAGCCCCGGUACAGUAGGUGGCGGUAUAUGGCGAGUGGAUGCUGACAAUUCAAAGCUUUCCCAGAAGAAGGAAAAGGAGCAGCCUUCCCUUAUGUCGCCGUCAGUCCGUGUGAAGUUUUGAAUGGAUUUGAUUGUGACUGCAGACGAAAGACCGGCGGCGAUGUCACGGCGAGUGCAUGAAGAAUCGUUUACCGGCGGCGACGCGACGACGGCGCAUGUUCGAAAUUUAUAUAAAAAUACCGAACUGAUUGAACUUCAUUUCCAGCAACAAAAGGACACUAAUGCAAGGUGGACAAUAAUCAGAGGGGAGUUGUGAACCUGAGGCCAAGGCUUGAGCCCAAAUCCCCUGUAACAGAACUGCAGAGAGGAAGAAAAAACUGUGAAGGAGAAGAUGGAAAGGAGCUAGGCUUGGAGGCACAGACUGUUGCUUUUAUUAUGUUCUUGAUGAUUGACAGGCCUAAAUGAUUAGGCUUUUCAAGAACCAUAUAAACAAACAAUUGAGAAAAGAGGGGGAUAAUCUUAACAAUCAAAGGUUUAAAUAUUUAACCUCUUAAGACCAGAGCUUUGGUUUCAUUUUAAUUUCAGAUUUCUAUGGAAAUUAAAAAGAACCAAUUAAUAUAAUAUCCAAAUAUUUUUCUUUGAACUUGAAGCAGUGUAAUUGUCCACAUUUGUGUACAACAUGUUCCAGUUACACAGAAGUAAUUAUUAUGGUGCAAACAACAAAAAACAUCUAGGUCUUAGGAGGUUAAAGGUCAGUUGAAGACAUAUGUCAACAACUUUAUUUAUUGAGAUGAUACUAAGUUUUUAAUUAUAUUCAGACAGUACACAAUAACAGCAACAUGAACAUUAAUUAACAGUAAUAAUAUUAUAUAUUAUGAUAGUGUUUCUUUCAUGCAUGUGUGUUCGGAUGCAUAGAUUGGCUACAGUAUGUGUGUCCUAAUGAUUCACAGUUGUAAGUGAACUUUGUGGCAUGUUAAAACUUAUUGGACAGCAGUAUAUGUCCCGUCUUCUUAAAGCAGUAUUUACAAUUUUAAGAGGUCAUUAAGCUUUUUUAAUUUAAAAGUUACAACUUAAUGA